UCCCCGCCCAUGUGCAGGCACACUCACACUCUCUCUCUCAAAGGAAAUGAACAUUUUUUAAAAAUAAUAAAUAAAUUAGCAUCAACCAUAUUCAUAAUGAUUAGACUCAUGUUUUAUGUCUCCCUGAGGCUUUUCAAACAUCAUGGGGGGAAGUCAUUUAGCAGAAUUUACUUAUAGCUAAGGGCCACUUUAACCCAUUGAUCGCCAUGAUGCUAUCUGAGGCUGUGGUUCUGAUUCCGUGCAUCUUCCUGCCCCUGAUGGCAUAAAGCAAGUGGACCAAGUUGCUGCUUCUCCAUACCUAGGACAGGAACAGAAAACUUUGUAUGCCCUGCUGUAACUGGAGGUGUGGGACUGGAGUGUUUAUUGGUCAAGUGAAUGAAAAGAGGCAGGUUAGAAUAUGGCCAAGGCCAAUACCCAGUCUCCUGAGGAAAAUUGGAGCCUUUGUUUUGUUUUUUUGUUUUUUGUUUUUUUUUUGCUUUGUUUUGUUUUGGUUUGUUUGUUUGUUUGUUUGUUUUUUGUAAUUUUUUUUUCUUUGUCUUGCCUUCAAAGCAGAUUGUGUAAGAUUCGGUCUCCUCAGGAGAUAACUCAUGAAAUAUACCCCUUGGGUCCUUUGCAUCUCAUCCCUGCAUAUAUAGCAUAGGGAAGAGCAUCCCCUACCCACUAGAGCCAUGGGCAUUUCCUGACAAAUACUGUAGCCCUCUGGAAUAUAUCAUUGAGCUCCUGGCUUACUGCAUUCUUCUGAAAGCCCUUUUUAUUGAAUUGGCUCAUUCUGAACCACUCAUACAUAGUGAACAUUCGUAUGGUACAUUUGGGGACACUAAGGAUACAACAGUUUACAAAAACGUAGCUGGGAAGUUUUUAACUCCUAAUUUUGGCACGGAAGCAUUCCCUUUGAAGCUCCUAAUAAUCUUUCUUCCUACCACUGUUCCACUCAUUGUUUCCCAACCUCUUUUCUGGGAAAACUUGGGGUAAAUUUUUACUAUUUUAUGCUUGAUUUCUUUUGCUUCCCUCUUCUCACUUUUCAUUUCCAGAAGAAAUGGCUUGGCUUCCCUCCUUCUCCAUCCUGCCUUGAAUACACAGGAAUGCGUAACACUUUAGCAUAGGACAAUACAAUUUAGAUUGGGAAACUUUUUAUUUGUAAACCUCAGUGGGUUUUGUUGACACAGUUGUGCCCAAUUCCUGAAUGAACUUAAUCCCGUACUCUUAAUGAAGUUGAGAAAGAAAAGCUAAUAUGUGGUGACUACCUACUUGACCACAGAUGUUGGGCUAGGCUCCUUCUUAUACAAUUUCUCACGUAAUCUUUAUGAUAAUCCUGCUAAAUGUGGAUUACUGUUCCACUUGGAAUCUGAAGCCCAGAGAUAUUAAACACCUUGCCUGAGGAUAGGUGGCGAAGCUGAGCUUUGAACUCUGAUUUCUCUGACUUCAAAGCCAAUGCUCUCUCCACCUCAUGGAAAACCUUCAGAGCUUAGGGCAUAUUUAUUGUUUCAAAAUGUAUAAUCCCAGAGCACACAUGCUUCCUUAGCCAUUAGAGGUGAGUGAAUGAAAUAGUAGUGUUGUGUUGUGUAAAGUCAUUGACAAAAUGACCUUUUGGUGUCAUUCUGAUCGUGCACUGCUUAGAGUAAUUAUGACUGUAAAGCCGUUGGAGCAGUCCAGAAGUAUUUCUAAGCAGUUUCUACACGCCUAAGCAUUAAAUUUAGUUAUUUGUUCAACAUAAAAGCAGAGGAAUAGUCUUUCCAGGUGGCAGAUAAAAUGAUGGAAGAAUUGAAAUAGUGAAAUAACUUCAGUGUUUGGAUUUAUGGUGCUGGUCAGAUUCAUUUAUAGAGACAAGGCAGUGUGUCAAGUCAGUGUUGGCUGGGGUACUCUCAGAAGGCACCGCACAGGGAGUGGGGUGGGUUAUGGUUAGCUCUGAACAGAUUUCCUGGUCUCCACUUCUCUCAUGUGGCUUCCUUCCCUGCUCAAAAAGCCAACCAAAAAAAUAAGGGGAAAGGAAGGGAAGAAUGGAGACAGAAAAAAGAGAGACUGUGAAUAACUCAAGCAAAUUGGAGAAAUAGCUUCAAGUCUGUAUUUCCUGGAUCGUGUAUGUAUGUUUGUGUGUGAGGGACAAUGCAUCAAAGUAGUGUUAAGAGGUGUAAGCCUAGAAGUCAGUCUGCCAUAAUUCUGGUUCUGCUUCCACCGUCUAGUUAUUAUAUAGCCUUAAGCAAAUCACAUAACUCUCGGGCUCCUAGUGUCCUCCUGGAAUUGUAGGAAUUAGGAUGUGUGAUCAUAAAGUUUGAUUUCAACUCCAGCAUUUAAUGAUUUUAAAAGUUUUUAGUGUGCUUUGAUUAUCACUCAUUGCAUUACAUGGACAUAUAUUAACUACUUUAAUAUGCAUCAAAGGAGGUAUGCUCUUUCUCUUCAAAAAUGCUAAAGGCUGACCUUGUUAUAGAAAACACUCUGGAAUCAUGCAUUCAGAAUACUUAAUUUUGAGUUUUCCUUCUUGUAUUUUAAUGUCUCUGCUCUCACGGUCCUCCUCCUUCAUUGGAAGCCAGUUUUAAGUUUCGAUGAUUAACCACCCCCUUUUUUUUACCCCCCCCCCUUUUUUUAUUAAAGAGAAAGAGUACCAGAUGGAAGAGGUUACUCUCUAAUUCAGAAUUUAUCUUGACAGAGACUAGAUAAAAAGAUAAUACUAGAUAAAAAGAGGAAUUAGAAAAGGGAAUGUAUUGUAGAAAAAAUAGGUAGCAGUCACCACCAUAUUCCGGUGGAAUGCCAUCCUUGAAUAUUUAUCUAGUCCUGGAAUACUCUAGAUAAAAUGCCAUCUUCAGUUUUUUGAGAGGAUACACUAAAUUAUUGGAAUAGCUACACUUUAUCCCAAGGGCAGGUUGCGCCAACUCUCAUUUAAGUGUUUCAUUUGCCUACCCUGUGUAUCCCCGCUUCUUAGGUGAUUUAAGGUAGAUAGAAGAUAGGCUAUUAGCACUGAAGUUGAUUACAAGGCUGAACUUCAAGACAGGAGUGAUGUAUCUCAACCCCCAAACCCCCACCACAUUUUCUAACUUUAUCCAGGGUUUAUACUGUAGAGGAUUUAAAACAACAACAGGAGUAUUUUCUCCAUUUUCUACCUUAUGCCUUUGAACUUGACAAAGGAAGAAAAUAUGCAUUCUGUUUCAAACAGUUAUGACAGUGUACAUGAACACCUGAAGUUCCUUCUCACUUAGCAGAUGAAAGCCCCCCUCUUACCUUUAAGACCAGUGUGACCUCACAGAGGCUUCCACAGAAGGCAGAAGAUUCCAUGAAGGGAAACAGACUCGAAGGUGGCUCUCAAUCAUCCCCACCUCCUGAUACCCGUGCCCUUGUAUGUGGCACUCCCCUUGAAUGUGGGCAAGACCUACGAUUUACUUCUGACCAACAGACUAAAGCAAAGUUGAUGUCAUGCAGAUGAUUAUUACAUGUAUCAGAUAAGGUUAGACAAAUUGUAGGAUUGUAACACCCAUCCUACAAGGAUACCUUUCCCUUUGGUGGCUUUCAAGAACUAAGCUCUCAUGUUGUGACCUACCACAUGGAGAGGGCCAUGUGGCAAGGAACUCAAGGUAGCCUGUAGCUAGUAAGAAACUAAAGCCUUCAGUCCAGCAGCCUAUAGGAGCUAAAGGCUGCCAGCAUCUAUGUAAACCUGAAAACAAACCCUGCCCCAGUGGAACCUAAAGGUGAGACCACAACCCUGGCUGACAUCUUGCUUACCGCCCGUGAGGGUCUGAGGCAGGGGACCCUGCUAAGCCAUGACUGCACCCAUAGCCCUCAGAAACUGAGAUGAUAAAUGUAUAUCGAUUUCCUCCACUAAGUUUUUAUUGUCAUGCAGCAACAGAUAGCUAAUAGAAUUGUUAAUUUGGAACCACCAUUUUCUUUAUCUUUCAUUCUCUACAGAAUAGUUACUAAGUGAAAGUGGCUUGUUACCCUAUCCUUAAAAUUGUUAAGGGUCCUUUAAGAGCUGAUUUAUCCAUGACUUUGUGUGAGUCAUAAACGUGCCCUUCCUUUUCUGGUAUUCCUUCAAGAGAGGUGCCCCUUGACUCUAGUUUAUAAGGGACAUGGAUAAGGUUGAAAAAUAUUGAUAAAUACUGAUUGAGUCCAGUUGAAUUAUAUGAAGAGGAGUUUCUCUGAAAGCUAUUUUCAAAUCUUCCUGUGACUCUGCCAUAGAUGGCUUAUCAGAACUUCUCCUGCUAGGAAAUGGGGUGAGGAGAUCAUUCUUUGAGCUUCUCUGUCAUUUAUGUACUGGUGAAAUUAAAAAUUACUAAGAGGAGCCUUAAAAUGAAGCAGCUCUUUUACAAGAUUCCUCUGCAUCCUGAAGAAUGUUACAGACGUGGAGCAGGCACCCAAGCUGGUCAAAUGAUGGAUGUGUCUAUAUGAAUACUGCCUCUUUCACCAUCCCCUGGGCCUGAGUGACCCCCAGGGUAGUUUGCUAGAAGACAGAAGCUUGACAGUUGGGGAAGGACAGAGGGUCCUAAUACUCUGAAAUAAGUGCAGAGUAACAUGGCACUGGUGCAGCCCAAACAUGGCCCCAGGGGUGGUCAUGCCACUCCUGAGUUAGGUGGGAAAUUGCCAAACCCUCAACUAAGCUCUCUGGCAUUUUUGAAUUGCCCAACCAAGUGGAAGAGAAAGCAAUCUGUGAAGUUCUUAACUCACAUCAUUCUAGCUUUUUUUGAAACAUCAUCAAAGCAAGUCCCUCUUGUUUGGAACCUCAGUUUCCACCAUGGUGCUGCCUUACGAGAAACCGUACUAAGCAUUUGAAUCCUCUAGAUGACUCAAGGUCAUCCUCAUGACCAUCUAUUAUUGUGCUCUGCUGAAAUUCAGUAAUUUUCCUCUCCUGUCCCCUCAGGCUGUCAGCUGCCAUCUCUGCUGUCACUGGGCUACCUCUCGUAGGCUUCCCCACCACCUUCUGAUGUUUAUUGGUUCUAAUCUCCUGUGUGGGGAAGGAACAGCAAAACGGUCAUUAGAAUCGCUGGUGAAUAUGAGUCAAUAAGCACUGAAUGCUUAUUGCUCCCAAAGGAGCAUCCAUCAGAGGAAAGAAUUGUUUCAUUCUGGCACUUUUUAAAUUCAGUGUUUUACCCGCACAGAGCCCAAGACUCUUCCUCCUUCUCCUUCUCCAUCAUCAUCUUUUCCUUCUCCAACUCUCAGGGAAAUCGGAAACGUGGGCUGUGCCUAUGUGCUCUCUUACCCUCUCCUUGGAUUUUGUUCUUAAAUCAUAACAAUUAGAGGAGUUGCUAAAUUGGAUCAUUUCAGAUUGUCUCAGUUCUCUGCGGCUUUAAGAACAAGCUGAUUUGAAGCCACAUACUGUUGGCAGCUUUCAUCCAUUUAUUUGGACUAUCAAGCAAGAAUGCUCACAAUCUUUCAAAUGAAAGAAGACAUCUUUAUUUCCAGUUCACACCCUUCAUAAUAAGAAGGGUAUUUGAAAUAAAGCCAAAAAGCAUAACUUACUUCUCUAACUUCAUAUUACAGAUGCCCACAGUAAUGGAAGAAAAAAAAAUUUUUUUUUUUUUUUUACUACCCGACCUUCCCCCGGAUCAGCAGCAGAAAAUGACAGUGAUGCAUUCAGACUCGAACAGCAAAAAAGAAAGAAAAGAAUCCUUUGCUUACAUUUGUAGGAAAGGCCUCGGCUUUCCUGAAAAUCUGUCUUUAGGAAGAAAGCAGAGCUGCGGUUCCAACACAGGAAGAUGCCUUCAUGAUCAUUUUACUGAGAAAUUGUCUUUGACAGCUUCACUGUGCCAUUGCUACCAAGAAGGGGCCUGUAUAAUAGAUACCAGAAAAUUUUGAAAUUAGGGAAAAAUCACGUUAUGGAACAAAGAUCUCUGCUUAAUACCAAAACUUGGAGACAGGAGAACCGAGUUUUCUGGUAGGAGGGGGGACUUUCUGUUAUGGAGUAAAUGGAGCUGAGAACGUCCCACUAUGAGGGAGCAAGUGGACCACCUGCUCUGUCUUCCCAGGCACAUCUUCCCUUUAUACGCUUGGAGGCAGCCAGUGCCACAAGUCCGUGUUAGGAUUCUCGCCCCUCUCUUCCGGCCUGGGACAGCUCUCUCCACCCCCGGCACUGCACUACUCUCACCUCCAGGAGGCAUUCCCUGAGCUUUCUCUCUCCCAGAUGGACAACGAUCUCCACGUACCUAGGACAAUAGCCAUUUAUAUAGUGCCUCAUCUGUGUGCCACCCGUAAUUUCCUGCGGGCAGGGUCUGCGUCUGAUGUGCUUCUCUUAUGGGUCUGCACCCUAAUUCAGGACUCUAAGCAUGCUCUUAACCAAUGUUUAGGGGAAAAGGAAGGUGGGAAGGGAGGGGGGGAUAAAAACAGGGAAGGAAUGAAAUAUUACAGCUGCAGAGAGCUUAUAUCUAGGGCCCCAAUAUAAUAAUAACCUUUUACUUGUUUGCCAUUUUACUACUUAACAGUUUUUUUUACACGUAUCUCUUUAUCAUCAUCGUGCUAUUGUAUGCGUGGGUGCACAGCGUGUGUGUGCACGUGUAUCUUUGUAGUGCGUGCGUGUAUCGCUUCUCUUUCUCUAUUCCCGUCUACAUACACACACACACACACACACACACACACACACACACACACACACACAGGUGUUGCUUAGGCACACAAAUGUAAGCUCUGUGAGGGCAAGGACGUUGCUGUGUCCAUAUCUCUGUACCAGCUUCUUAAACAGUGCCUGAUGAGGGAAAGCUCAAUAAAUGUUUGUUAGAUGAAUGAAUGAGGAUAUGCCUUCAUUUGGUCUUUAUCAUCACCUCCUGAAGUGAACACAAUAUCCAUAUUCUAUCCUACUCUUUGGCAGGUAACAAACCUGAGUCCUUACCACCUGCUCGAGGUCACAUGGCUCGUUCUUGGCCAAACCAAGCCUUGAACUCAGCUUUUCUGUUUCUCUAUUCCUUUCCUUCUGUCUUCUGGGAAUUUGCUAUAUUAAUAGCAAAGCGAGAAAUGUCACACAGGGAAAAUUUGUCUCCAAGUUUAAAUUCAUGAUGCGUACACAAGAAAUUACUGACUUCUCAAUCCAACGGUAACACAGAUUGUGUGAUUUUGAGGAGGAGAAGCCUUUCUUUCCCAUCGUCUUCCCUUUAUUAGCCUAUGUGUCAGUGCACACACAUGCGCGCCGUGCAGCCCUCGGCUUGUACUUUUCCAGCCUCCUGUUAAUUCCUUUCGUAGGCUCUUCCUGCCCUGACCAUCCCCGGUUCCUGUCAAGGCUGUUGCUUGGUCAGGCCAAGGCCAAGCGACACGCAGCAGGAUUUGUUAUGGUUACUUUGGCAAGUGCAGAGGGCUUGAGAGAAGGGGAACAGCAGGCAUUUCAGGAGUAGGACUAGGCUGGCUUGUUGUUUGUUAUAAACGUUUCUACUCACCCUAAUUGUAGCUCGCAGGGGCAAGCGGAGUAAACACCCAUACAAAUUACUAAGUGGUACUGAGUGUCCAAGGCUGUCAACAAUCGCCGUGGACUUCAGAUGAAAUCUCCUUCUUGACCGAGACCGGAGCCAGGCAGCACACGUGGUCUCCCCCUAUCACUGCCCGUCUUGUGUGGACACAGCAGCCAGAAAAGGGGCUCCGUAAGGCCCUGGCACAGGGCCUGGAGACGAAUAGGGUGCUUGGCGCGAAUGUUGGGGGGUAGCUACAGUCACCGUCUAUCCUUAGGCUCCUCUCUGUUUUUUUCUAUCUUAAAACAGGGUGACUACAAGGGGGAAUAAGGAAUACAGUGAUAGAGGAUCCUGCAUGAAAGUUCAAGAGAAAACUGGCAUUCAUUUUUAUCUGAAGCCUGUGGGGGGAGGGAUGAGUCAGUGAAAAGGGUACGAAGGGGAUCUGAAGUCACACUUUGUCACAGACUCUGGGACAAUGGCGGUGAGUAGCCCAGGAACUCCACAAGGUUUAUUCUCAUAUUCACUCAGAUCACAGUGAGGCGAAAGGGACGCCCGUACAGAUAUUUGAGGCGGCUUCCCUGUUUGACCAUGACUCCGGCUGUCGUGCAGAGACUUGGGCUUCUCCGCUCUAGUAGGACUCAUUUCUUUCCCUUUCCCUUUCUCAUAAAUGACUCAGGAGACUCUUUGGGAGAACCACAUGUGCUCUCUUCCCAGAAUUGUCACCGAGGAAGUGCAUGUCCUCUUAGCUUACCGGAUUCGCCCAUUGAGACGUGCCUCUACUUUGCUCUCACCUCCUGGAUGUGGUUUGCAGAGAUGGGCUGUUGGGAUUUCCCACCAGUCCACGACUCGAAGUUUCUAUUUCCACAUUUUGACUGCCAGUUCUAUAUUUGCGCAAAAUCCUGCUUUUUGCCUGGUUUCCUAGGGAAACAGUUUGUAAGAGCUACUGCUUUCUGUCCAUCUGCUUUGCCCGCCUGGGUUUUUGACUGUACACCCUGAUUAUUUCCUAAUCUGACAGAAAGACACCAGGCCCAAAAUAAGGGGGACUUCCUCUAAAAUUGCUAAAAAUGAGUUUUUGAAAAUAAAUGGUCAGUUAGGAAAUCACUCUCCUGUUGGCGGAGGGGAGGGCAGUUUGUGUUGUCCUUAUGUUCACAGACUAUUAUAAUAAGAAAGGAAGCGUAAGUGAACAGUGGGCGGGACGAGACAUCUUAUUCGAUAGAUGCAAAGAUAUUACACAUAAAAUAUAAACUAGACACAAUGACGGCCCUGCGAGGACCUUCCAGCUAGAGGGAUCAGCUACGACAUAGUUAAAGUAACCCUGCACUGGAUGUCCGGGAACCUGAGUUGCUGUGUCAUUAUCAUCUCAGGCUCAAUCUUCCCAUCAAAAAGAGGACCUCAUUUUAUUUUUGGAAUGUGGACCCCUUGUACUGAGGAUCCUGCACAGAAAACCGUAUUUACAAAGUAAAUAAGCAUCCCUGUGCCAGUGCUUACACUCCAUGGCACAUGCACGUUGACCAACCAGAACUGUGUUGGGUGACAAGACCAGUGUCACUGUGCCGAGUUGAUAAUCUGGCAACAAGCAGUCUAAUCCCUGAGACCUGCUUGCAUACUUGGAGGCUUUUUAAGCUCCAUUCUACAGGAAUCAUGGACACACCAGGUUCUGGGGCAGCAAGAGGAGAACCAUUAACCUAGAUGAGUUUCUGAAAUCUUUGCCAGGUUCUCAGUUGCUAAAUUCUGUCUUGAGCUUUUCUGGGGAGAGAAAGCGGGCCACGAAGGAGGGAGAAGAAUGCUUUCUCACACUGUGAAACGCCUGUGCUCACCUCGCCCACGGGGUUAUGUCCGUGACCCCAAUGCCCGUGAGGUUCUUGCAUGUUCCUAAGAUACUUCUGCAGACCAGACGUCAGAGGUGAACCAGGUCCUGCACCAUGGCUCAGGGUGAAGACCGUUGUGGAGAGCAGCCGUGCAGGUCUCCCUUUAGGACAUAGCCGCGCACCUAGGGCUGGAAACGGAGCCCUCCACAGAUAGAAUCUGUUGUUUCAUUUAAUUACUUUUCAAGAUGCCAUUACCAGAAAUUUUUAUGUAAAUACAUAUUUUAUUCCCCGAGGCAUGUUAAUAUGAGACAAAAAUUAUACAACACUGAAAGGAAAACAAAAUGGCCCUUUUUACUAAUUCUCUCUGUGUGUUCUUCGGCACAUGCUAUAGGAUAGCAAAGGUGCUCACUUAGCCAAAACCACUUUCUUUGGCAUUCAGUUUGCAGAAUCACAGGAAUGCAGAAUUGAUACUCAAUAGCUUAACGCGAUUCAACUCAAUGAACAUUGACUGUUUGCCUUCUCUAGGGCAGGUCCUGAGCCCAUGCUAUACAAAGUACGGGCACCAUUAAUGAAACAGACACUUAAGAGUCCCUGUGAUGUGCUAAAAGCAUAUAACCACCUUACUGGCUAGACAGUAAUUGGUGCCUCGGAAGAGGUACUUAUUUAUUUAUCAAGUACUUAUAUUGCACUCAUUAUAUGUCAAGCACUGUUCCCUGUACCUCAUUAACCCAUAUCAUCCUCAGAACAGCCUUUUGGAAUGUGAACUCUGGUGUGUAUGCUCUUAACCACGAUGCUGUGCUCAGAGGGGCGAGAGGAGAAAGAAGUUACUUUGGGCUCAGUGGAUCAAGAAAUGAGGCAUCUGAACUAGGAUUUGAGGACGUAGCUCAGACCCUCCAGGGGAUGUCUGGGAAUGUGUGUGUCUUUUGUAAGAUCGAAAACAAAGCUCAGAAUAUGAGGAGCUUUGAAAGUCAAACGGGGCCCUUCCACCUCAUCUAUUUUGUCUAAGUGGGGCCACCAGGCAAGUAUAGGUGUGAGACCAGCAUGGCAAGAACAUGCUUCAUAUCCACAGCCGCACUCCCCUCGAGGUCGAGAAGCCCCUGAGAAAACCUGCUGUGCUGAGAGAAUGCCCUCAAGGCACUAACCCAAUUAAGCAAGAUGUACCAUUUCCCUAAGAAGUCUUCAUUUCUCUCUUGGUGGAGGAUGCUUCCCAAAUUCACUCUGCCCGCCUUAGGACAAGCUUGUGACCCUUCAGAUGCAAGGAAUUCCGAGUUAUAUACAUUUUUCUCGCUCCCCCGGUGAAUCUCCUCUACUCUUAUAAAAAGAAUAACUUCUGGCUUACUUCUGGCCAGUCAGGGACGAGGCUCCUCUGAGAAGAGGAUGAGCAGGAAUACAGAGCCCGCUGUCGGAGCGCCCUUUGGCCGGGCAGGUGCUGAGGGAAGCCUCUCUACCCACCCCCCACCUCCGGAAUCAGUGCCAGCCACCCACAGAGCUGCGGCUCCUCUGCCUUCCAUGUGCAACUUGUUUGAUCAACCACCAAGACAAGCCCGCUGCCCAGAGGCUGCACAGCUCUCUUUUUCAGAUGCGCCCUGAAUCUUGUGGAAAGACAUUUGAUUCCAGAGCCUGUGCUGAGUGCAGCCGCCAGUCCUGUCACCAUGCUUACGAACUGUCUCUAUUUACCAACUGAUUUUCUUCCAAAGGUUUUUUACAGUUCCCGGCCUCCACCACCAUCACUCCCCUUUCCCCCACCCAGUUUGGCCUUUAUUUAGGCCGAUGUCGGGGUAUUUUUCGGAACGUGAAUAGAUCCAAGGAUGUUUUGUUGUUUUUUUUUUUUUCUUUCCCUCUUGGAGUCAAAUGUUCACCUACCGAGAGCUUCAUUCUCCCUCCACCUUUGUGAAGACGGUGAUGUACAGGGUAUCACCAUAGCCUAGUAUACAGGAUUCCUGGCUCUGGAGUAGUAAUAGAUUGCCAGACAGUCCCAGCCUGUCAGACUGGGCCAGACUGGGCCGAUCACCGUUCACUCCCCUGAGCUUGUUUCCCCAUUACCUAAAAUGGGGGUAUUAACUGUACCUGCCUCACAGUGCUUUGGGGAUUAUUACCUUCAAUAAUCUAUGUAAAAUACUCACCUGCACACAAGCGCCCACGCAACAAAUGUAGCCAUUAUCACUACUGGUAACAACAUGAAGCUUUGAGGAUGAAUCAUGCCAGACAAACUACAUGGUUCUUCUUGCCAAACAAAGUAUAUGGCUCUUCCUCCGUAUGAUUUUAUUUCACGUAGACACAGGCCUAUCCCAAAGGCAGUGAUAACAAAGGGAAGGUGGAGAAAGUUCUAAGCUCCUUUAUCCUAAGCUGAGUGGCUCCAUGUUGUCCCUAACCACCACUCUUGUGAUUCUUACUGGAUAUCUUUGGGGAGACGUCCGACGGGCACCAUGGAUGCGGGGCGGAUGGACGAUUCCCCAGAGAAGUUAACUGAGUGUAUAACAUCCGCGUGUAAACUCACACUUGUUCUUGCUCCCUUUCCUCGCCAGAACUAUCUGCGGACCCUCCUAAUCACACCGAUUCCUGAGCUUCAGGUCCAGAGAUACUGAUUUUACGGUUCUUGGGCGGCGGCUGGGAGGAUGAGCAUUCUUUUUGAAGCUCCCCAAGUGAUUCUGAUGGGCGACCAGGCUUAAGAACCCAUGACUGAGAGGAUGGGCGGGCCCAGGGAGGAAAUGGAUAUGCUCUACAGCAACCAUGAGAAGGAUCGAUGGCAAACAGAGCCAGCAAGUGUCUGCAUAGCGGAAGCUUUGCCUCUGCUCAGUCUCUUCUCAGUGUGGCAUUUGCAGGCAAUACAAAACAAAAAGAAAGGAGGGGGGCCUCAGCAUCAAGGAUGUGAAAGCUGCCUCUAAUCUUCAACUAGAUAAUAGGCAGGGGCCUCAGACUGUAGCCUGAGGAACAACAAAGGCAGCUGGCAUAUGUGGGCUGAGGUGAAAUACAUGUACUGAUGUGAGAGCCUCAAUGUUAGGCUCUCUGAAAGGAUGGAGAUUUUCUUAGCGUUGCUUCCUAUCAAAAUAAGAAAGGCCUGUGGUGCUUUCUUAUGAGUCUUUAGAUUUCUGUGCUUGGGCACCACUUAUCUCUUUUCUCCAUGCUUUCUCAUUUCCAGUUUCCAAGUUAUGAGAGAUUAUCUAGUUCAGUUCCAGCCGUCUCAUUUUACAGAUGGCAAAACUGAGUGAUGCCUGACAUCUCACAGCACGACACGGGCAGAGAUCUUGUUCCCUCACGUGAUACACCACAGUCUAUUCGAUACUGAGUUCAAGGAUGGAAGAGACGACUUUGGAGUCUCUCCAGCUUUCCUACUGGCUCUGAUUUCUCGACCAAGGCCCUAACUAUUCCCAUGACACCCUGGCUAACCAGGUGUCUUAUUUUCAAAGAUGGCAAAAGUUUCUUUAUUUUGAAGACAUAGUUCUUACCUUAACUGCCCCAAGCACCGCAGGAGAAGGACCACGACCUUGCUGAGAGCCACCGCAAGCCAAAUGAUUUACUUAAUUUUCCUUAAGUACUCAGAAGAAGAAAAACAAUAAUCUGUAUGAUGGACUUUUGGCCUGCACCCAUAUCCUUUAGGAAAAGAUGGAAUUUGGCAUAGCACAUACUCUGAUUUAAAGGAAAAUGUUUUGUUCUGAUGUAUUUUGUCUAAUUAAGAGUAAAAAAAUAAAAGGAUUGAAUUUUUCCUAUGCAAUGUCA